rnacentral:tRNA from 1 species
UCCCUGGUAGUCCAGUGGCUAAGACUCUGCACUCCCAAUGCAGGAGGCCCGGGUUUGAUUCCUGGUUAGGGAC